rnacentral:Y_RNA from 1 species
GGUUGGUCCAAGGGUUAUCAGAACUUAUUAACAUUAGUGUCACUAAAGUUGGUAUACAAUCUCCCACUGCUAAAUUUGACUGGCUUUAA